AUUGGAUAAUACUGACACUGAAGAAAACUGACUAAGACCGUACCGCACACACACGCACAAACGCACUCGCACACGCACUGCUUCUAUUACUUCAAUCGCGCUCAAACGCUGACAGCACAAUGACUUGCUUCUUUCGCCUGGCCCGGUACCGGGAUGACAUCUCGCGGUGGUACUGAAUGGAUGGAGACUGUUGCUAGGGAAAAAAGGGAUUUAGAAGCAGUGCCCUGUGGGAGAUGCUGCGGUGGGCGAAGGUUUUUUUUUAUGCUGGCUGAAGUCGCGCUGUCAGUGGACGGUCCAUCUGUCAUUGGUUUGCUAGAUGGCGCUCUCGUUUGUUUACGUUGUGCAAACUGAGCCUCUACAGGCUCCAGUAGUGUUUAAAUCCGGGGAGAGAAACUCUCUCUAUUUGAUGAAAAUUAUAAGAUUUGGUGUAAUUAGUGAACGAGUCAGGUAAGCAAACCAUUCCUCGGUUCAGUGAUAAUCUAUAACAGAUUUGUUUUAUCGAUUUCAAGGUGCUGGCACCCCGGCAAUGUUUGCGCUCUCCCGGAAUGGCAUCAAACACGGAACCACAUAAUCCAUCAUGUUACGAAAGUCGAUCCCUUUGGUAAACAAACGCGUGAAAUGUAUGGCUUGGUCCCUAUUUGCCGUAGAUAAUCAAUCGGUUCGAACUGUACCGGGGCAGCCGCCUGGGUUUGUUUACCCACGAGGGCCGGUCGCGCACCAGGCAAGGACGCGCGCGCGCGUCUAGGAGCGGCUAGAAAACUAUUAGUAACCCAAAAUGUGGCCAGACACCGCUGCGUGUUUGUGAAAGCAGGCGCACACGUUGUUUGAUUAGCUGAUUGGAAAAUGCGAUGUAAUGGGUUAAAUACGACGUGCUGUGGCUGGGCAGGAGCGCAGGUAAGUGUGCCGUGUGCCGUCAGGAAUGGCGAGCAUGCUACUUUGCGCAAUGCUCUACUACCUGCGGCAAGCAGGGCACAAGGCGGUGUUAGGCGACCGGGGAGCGUGGGUUUUAAUUGAAAUCAAAUUUCAUUCCUUCGCUGUUUGGCUCAAAAUUGCCUACUUCAAGCACCGAUCGACAAACCCGAUUAAGACCUAAAUCGUGCCUCACCGUGCGAAGAUGUGAGUAGGGAGCUUCAGCACACGGUCGAAUAGGGUGGUUGGUUGUUUAGCUACCAACCAUGCUCCUUGGCCAUAAUGUACCCAGGCCAUACUUUGCUCGCCCCUCAUUACUAAUAUUACCCCUUACUCCAGUGUGGGAAGCACCGAUUCCUGGCAGCGAAGUCCGUAAUCAAACGAUUUUCACCAUUUCCCCAUUUUUCUUUUCACAGCACCGCCAUUAAACGCCUUCGGAGAAAAUGUGGCAAUACAACACACGCACACACAUACACACCAAGUACCCCUUAUAAACGGUUGGAACGGUAAAUCCCUUUUCCCUCGGAUAUACCGGUGGGAACACACUAACCGAGUGCCGAGCGACCCCUCGUUUGCUGCACUUAAUAUGCUGUUGGAAUUCUCCCGGGGGUGCGGUCGGGGCUGUUUCGUUUGCGAGCAUUGCGUGCGGCACGGACGGUGCAUUUUCCACGUACAGCAAGCCCAUCAACCUUGAUUGUGUGUGUGUGUGUGACACUGUGGCACUGUGGAGGCUUAUCGUGUCGGCUGGCGACGGGUGAGAGAAAAAUUAUUAUCAAAAUAAUCGUAAUUAUCGCUUGUAAUUUGUAUUUACUAGGAACGCCCCUACUCGCCCCAACAAGCACGAGGGCGGAAACACGUCCACGGAGUGGUGACGAUUAGUCCAAGGAUUAUUGACUCGACCGGCGUAUGCGCCCGGGGGGAAAGUCCUGUUGUUCGCUCUUACCAUCCAACGAGCCCAUGGCGGGUAAAGAUUGCAUGAUUUAAUUUAAUCUACCCCCGUUUUCUGUUCACCACUCACCAUUUGCCUCUUGCGUACAGAAAAGAACUGCGCACAGCACGGAAUGGAUAUUGCGCUGUUUGAAUGGUGGAGGGUGUAGAGCACGUGGAGCACAAAUAGUGCGUCCCCUACGUGUCACGCUUGCUGACGAGUUGGGGUUGUUUUUCUUUUUUACUGUUUUGGUUGUUAAACAUAAACGGUCUGCACAAGCGGCUGGUAGUAUUGAAAGCUUACACAGCAGCUUUAAAACAGCAGCUUGGAAAAAUCAAUUGACGUACAAAACGCUAAUCGCUAAUGCACUGUAUUUCGUAGCAUUUGUGCAGACAAACGGCGUUAAUAAAACAUUGCCACACAUACACACAUGCACAUCUUCAGUGCGAGAGCUGCUGGAAGGCGUCACUGGGCAAAACCAUAACGCCAUUAGGCGCUAGUCUUUUGCGUACUGGUACUGCGCCCCACAGGUCGCACACUCGACUGUUAAGUUAAGUCGUGUUCCAAGUGGCCAUAGACUCUUCCACCCACCCGCACGAACUCUCAUCGACACUGGUGGUGUACAACAAUACACCGUACAUGAUCCUGUAACAGUGCGGCGUUUAUCCUUAGCCGGGAAGUGCUCGCCGUGUGUUUGCUGCUCCACAUGCCCCCCCGGGCUGCGCACCGCAAACCGCCAUCAGCAUCAUAAUCUGUAUGAAAAUGUAAUUUACAUUCAAAACAACCGCACACGCAGUGCCAUCCCGUUUUAAUUAAUAUUUAUAUUUACAACCAUCUCCAUCGUCGUUAAGGGGGGUAGAAUGUGCGGAGUGUAUGUAUAGUACAUCCCGGAAACACUUUGGAUGUCAACCCAAUUUGUGACAACCUCAGCAGCGAGUGAAAGGGAAGUGGAGUGGGGAGAAGGUUAGACUAGGAAUGUCCCUUGGCGAGCGGUGGAAAUACAACAAACGUUUACUGCGAUGACUCCCGUGGCUAGUGUGUUUGUGUGCGCGAGGUUACCAGCGACGCCUACUAAGCAAUUCAAAAUGAGACAGAUGCGUAGUUCAAAUUUCACUACGUGCUGCCUUGUGCUGAGAAGGUUUGACCGGAGUGAAAUGGACAGGUUUAUCGCAAUUUUGGUACUGAUACCAGCUGAACAGACAACAACAAAAAUUCUUCAGUGCUUGCAGGUUUGUAAAUGUUGCUUUUAUAUGCUCUGUAUCAAGCGCUUCUUUUUCAAUGCAUCAUUUAUCCUUUCAGCCGUGCGGCAAUAACAACCAUCGUAUUGGAAAUUGAAAAGCUGCAGUACACGGAAACAUGCAACCCAAGGGUGGGGAUGGGCGCGGCUGUUUUAAUUAAAGCAUCGAGAGACAAUUUAUAGAAUCGUGAGAGAAGUAACGCAAAGUACCAGUGCCGCCGAAACGUGGUCAUACAACUCGGUAACCUACUUCCAAGGGUUUGGGAUGGGGGCGCAUAGUCAACACGCUACCGACACACGUACACCCUCUGGAAUAACAAGUGCACGGUGGUUUCUUCGUGGAAGAGAAGUGGGAAACAUGAAAAUCAAAGCAAUGGGCAGCAAUGGAAAAGAGUCGGAAAGGAACAAGCGCUUGUAGAUAGUAUUUCUAUCAAAUGAAAAUCUGUCCCCAGACCGUGUCCCGCCAAACACUUACCAUUCACCGUCCCUCAGGGAACAUAGGAGAGUGUUUGUCGUACAAGGUGAGAGAAUGCAAAAAUUAAAAAAAGAGGGUGAAAAAAGACGCGGAAGAAAACGCAAGGCAAAAUUAAAUCAACACUUUACGAUCCCCGGGCCACGGCGGUUGUCAUCGAGCGUCGCGCUCGUAAUGUUGCCGGGCGUCACGAGCUGCAAAACGGAAAACGUGCUGGAAGUAUAAAUCUUUAUUGCAAUCACAACGACCCCACCGGGGACGGCCGGACACCUGGGUGAUACCGAGAGACAGGUCCUGCUGGUGAACAGGUGUGAGAUGAGGCAGAGGGAGAUGAGAACGUGUAUCUCUCGAGCGUCGCUCGUACCGGUGGAAGCUCCCAAGUCAUCGUUCGUUCAUCCAUUUGAAGGAGGAGCACCAUAUAAAUUUGUAUCCGAUUUUGCGUUUACAGAUUUAAUUUCUCGAACCCCCAUUUUCGCGUGAAGGGUUUAAGAGUGGUUACAAAAUCGGUAUGAAAAAUUGCUCCUUCAAUUGCAGCAACACAAGCAAAAACGUGCCACAAUCAAAUGGGUACAUUUUCCCAUUUAUUUGUUUGUUGGCGUCUAAACUAUCUCUGCGAUUGAAUUAUUGGCCACCAGCAUGUGGAUGAACGUAUACGCUACAUGACACUGCGACCAUCAUCAUUGCACACGGGGGAUUUGACUCUCUGGAGGAAAUUCGUUCCACGGUAGCGGAGAGGGUACAAUAAACUAAACUACAACACCCACCCGCCCUUAUCUGACACCGGAUGAAAGGUGCCUGACCACUGGCCACUAACCGGUGUUGCUGACAUUUCAUCGACUGGGCACCCACUUGACGUUGGCGGCCAACGGUGCGUAGAUGUACACGACCCAUCGCCCAUGUGUUUCGAUAUCCGGCUGGUGGUUCGCCUGGCCGGUGGGGGAAAUAUAUGACCAUUCACCACAUUCCGAGUUGGUGGUUGGUGCCUUUUUCUGUGUGUGUGGGUCCAGCCCUUUUCCGGCUUCUGCUCGCAUCCGGAACGGAAGUGAUCUUUUUCUGAGGCCGAAAAAAAGCAAAUGGGCAUUUGGGCGUAUGUUUAGCUUUCGAGAGCAUCCAGCACCCAUUCCGACCCUUUCUUGCCUUUCUUAUCAACUGCCAUGUCAACCGGAGCCACCGAAAGCAAUAACUUCGCGAGCGGAAAGCCAUCCCAGUUUCCAACUUUAGCAACAGUGAUAAAUUACAACUCUUUUUCGCCGGCCGGAAGUUGGGGAAGGACUUCCCAGUUGUGGUGGGCUCGCGCUAUGUUUUACGUUAAAUUAAUUUUAACUGAAAACUUUUCUCUCCCAACACAAAAAAAAUGGUGGGCGGUAGUCGUUCCCCUCUAUGUGUGUUUGGGCGUGUGUGUGUGUGUGUCGGUCAUGUGUAGAAAUGUGGGCCCAGACUAAACUGAAGCGCGCAAAAAACAAAGAAAACAGAACUAAGGCUAAAAUACAACACUACAACCUCAAAGCCUCGGGAUAGUGGGCACAGUCGCUGCGGUUUUAAUAUGUAACGGCCAAAGUGUGGCCUUCGUUUCGUUCCUGUGGGUUGGAUGCGCUACCGAUGCUCGUUUCGUUUUGGUGAACCGCGGGUUUCCACGGGCCACCACGGCAUAGAGCAUCUGGCAUGUGUACCAUAAUUUUAUAUGCGCCAUCUCUAUUGCCCCGGUCCGGGCGGGUUUUUGGGUCCUUUUUUUCCCCGGGACCGUUGGUGUAGGAAGUGGGUUGUGUAUCGCGCUCGUUUUGUUGCUCUUUUUGCUAAUGCGUAUGCGUCUGUGUGUGUGUUUGUGCAAUGUAUGUGGUUUAUAGCAAUAAAAGUUUUGUGUGUAUUUUUCGCUCUACUCGGUUUGGAAUUAGUGAAGCACUGGGCGGCCGCUGAUGUUACGACAUUUUUAGUUUGAGGGGGUUCUAUUUCACUGCCACACGUGCAGAAAGGUAAAAAAAAACACUCUUAGCAACACUCGCUCGUUACUAUAGUGACGCUUUUUCGCGUAUAGCGGAUGUGAAUAUGUUCGCAAAAGAAACCUGCUGUCGCUGGUAUGAGCUGAAUCCUUUUUCGGGUUUGGACGAAGAACAGAAGCGCCCCAGAAGCCAGUCCCUGUCCAGUGUAUGUGGGUGUACGUGUACGUGUGUGUGUGUGAUUAAAAAUCGCCAUUGCCAACGAAACUGGGGGUGAAAAAAAAAAUAGCGACGGUCCCGCUAAAUGAUAAACGAAGAGGAACGAAGCAAUGGCGAUCCGGAUUGUACCACAGUGUGCCGGAAUGUGCGGUGACGUUCUUUAUGUCACGCGAAAUGAGCAAAAGAUGCCCGGCAAAGAGUAGGAGCAGUGGCAGCACCAGCAAUCGUCCACGAGAGAGAGAUCCUCCAGUUGGCAAAUGGUUGACAACUAGACUAGCCCGUGGACAUGUCUAGUAGCAGAAGCAGUGCUUUAUGAGCACGCAGGAACCGGACCCAUCCGCCAGCAUCCUAUCCGGGCGGGUUCAAAAGGGGGAAGAGAUUAAUUGCCAUUUAUUUUUCAACAAUUUAAUUACACUUUUGUUUAAUGACCUCCAUGCGCCAUUCCAGCCAAUCCGUUGUUGCGUUUCCGGAGCGUCCGAACACACAUCCAUGUAUACAAACACACAGACAGACACAAAGGGAAUGAAGAGCCACCGACAGGCUGGUAAGUAGCUGUAAAUGGUCGGGAACCGGUGUGAUGCAUCCGAAACUGGCGGACAAUUGAUGAAGAUUCAUAAAAUUCAGUUAAGUGUUCAUUGCCUACAACUCGUUUGUCGUUGCAGAAAUUAAACCGAAAUGUAAUGGAGAUAAUCAAUUACAGCAGCACAAGGACACUUUCACCCUCCCCAAUCCUCGGGUUGUGCCCUGGUGGCUUUGAAACGUUCCGGACGCGAGGUUCAUCACAUCAGUAAGCUUGGGGGACACUUUUUGGAGCGUACUCUGGAUGAAUGGUGCUUUAUGACGGUGACAACUUCUGAUCGAACGCAGGGACAGACGGAGCAAAGUUGGAAAAUGGUUCGUCAUAAGGAAGACCGAUCGAAACUUUUCCACCUGCAGCAAUAUCAACAUCCAGCGAAGAGGCUAAAGCGCAUCACGAGUGCCCGUGCUUUGCUCGGAUCAAGCUCGGUUACGGAUUCGGAGCAGUUUAUCACUUUACACGCAACCCGUGAAGGCCACAACGGGAAAGGAACAAGGAAAAAUUAUUUUUUAAUAAGCAAGAAAGAAAAAUGAAAGACCCAGAGUUUGCAAAACAGCUUCGGCAACCUUAAAAACUCAUCCGUGCGCAAGGAGGAAAUGUUUGUUAUAAAGCACUCCCGGCCGAUUAAGAUCAGUACCGACUGAGUGUGCUAGCAGGUUCUUGCGCGGAUGUUGUCUAUGUAGGAAGUGGAAACUUUUCACUCGGAACCAUCACACCCCAAACCCGCAGUGUACGACGGGAUGGUUGGUUCGCGCACACCACUGAAACGCGCAUCCGGAAGGUUCGGUGCGCGUGUUCUCCGGGCUUUUAACGACACGAAAAGUGCCAAAGUUUGAGCUGCGUUUCCAAGUUCGUGUCCGGUGCCCGCGUGCUCGAGCUGUGUAUGUGUUAGUAUGCGAGUCCAUAAAGUUCCGCGUCCGCGGAUGCACCAUGCGCUCGGGCAAAGACUGUGUGAUGGAUGAAGAGACGAAGCCGCCCCCCCCCCAACUCCCCCAGUACAGUGUGCGGCGAAUGAUUCUUUGCGAGGUGUUUUGCAUUGGCCAAACAGGAACAAAAAAAGCAAACAAAAAAGUUGCAGGAAACAUCUGCAAAACGCGUGUGGUUGAACAGUGUAAUAUGGCCCGCUGGGCAUUCGGAGAAGUUCAUUUGCGUAAUGUAGUGCAAGUGUUUGGAAAUCUGUGAGUGUGUGUGUGUGUACCAUUAAGACAUGCGACCGACGGAACGCAACACGUAUUUCUAUCCACCAGGAACCAGUAAAGGGAGGACGGAUUUUGGAGUACCUCUGGGGCUUUAGUCGUUAGUAAAAGAGCAGUGAUUUAGCGCGUAGUGUGAUAAGAAGGGCAGACCAUGGGGCCGGGGCACACAUCGGCAAAGUACAAAAUCGUGUUACAUUGCAUCAGAUAAUGAUGAUCUAUCCUCUGUGUGUGUGUGUGUUAGGUUUUGUCCUGUACGGUAUGAAUUGUACGAUCAACCGGUCAGAGGACUACGUUUUGAUGGAUGCAGCCACAACACUGUUGGAAAAAUUGUGCUCUUUUCCGAACAUGAUACUGAAAAUUGGUUCGUUACUAGAUGUACACCAUAAAACCGGCUAGGGGUUUGUGGGCCUAUACUGAGGAGGAGAACAAGAGAAGCACUAUUUGCAGCACAAUGAGUUAGAUCGAUGGUAAAAUGUGAGCCAUUACAACAGUUGGCAUUCAAUGUUGUUGUAUAUUGUCGAAUGGAAUAAUCCGCUUCUUUCUUUUAUUUUAAAUCAGAAUUCGCAUAUAAUAACAAUGUCCAUUUUCUUCCCACAAGGUGCGCACAACAGCGCACAAAUCGGUGCACGGGAUGCAACCUUUGUUUCCGACCGGUGUACGGUAUUGUUGCUGCGCCCUGCCAUCAUUCCGCCCAACUCGCAGCAAACGGAAUGGGGAUACGGACACGGUGAAUGAAUUGACGUAAUUUAUAUUGCUUGUUGGCUAUCAAUUUUCCAAUGAUUUAUGAUUCACACAAAUACCACUGUCACUGCCGUGAACAGGACAACCUCCCUCCCUUUCUCCGUCCCUUCUCGAUAGCUCUCCACCACACGCGUCGGAAUGCUAUUUGGCACUCGGAAAAACCGGAUCGUGUGCGUACGAUGGAAAAGCCCUGUCGUAGGCGGAAGACGGUCGAAAUGUUAGCGACAAGCAUUGUGCAUGCAUGUGUGUGUGUGUAUGUUUGUGUGCUUAUAGUGAUAAUAAAUUACUCACGCUAUUAAAAGCGUUCGUCAGUCCAGUUGUUUUGAUACUUUUAAAUUCACGCACCACAAUGGUACAAUGCCAACCGUCGGUUUAAAUGGUACAGCAUUUUAGACGCUUUGGCGAGGAAUGUAAAUAGAACCUGGGUACGUUUUUACUGAAUUACUAUUGAUUUGUUUUUUGCGCCCCACCGGGAACGGCAUCAAAGUACACAUUGCUUUUGUUUCUCUGACCUUGUUUUAGUGCACUGGCUUCUUUUGGCUGACGGAUUUUGGGACGCUCUGCAAAGGCUCUGGUAUCGAUUGGCUGGUGAAAACGGACUGGUCUCCUCGUGUGUGUCACGGGAAACAAAGCGGCGAAACAGAUGCCAAACAGAUGUGAGCAGCAAGCUACAAAAGCGUAUUUUUUCGUGUCGUAAGUAUUCUUGUUACACAUACACAUACAAAAAAGCCAAACCUUUCGAUGUUCGGUUUAGACGAUCCGUACCGUCUGCUCUAUAGACGUGCAAGGCGUCGUCGUCGUUGUUUCGCGUACCCUUGUGCAAGGCUUGUUCCUUUUUUGGGCCACUUUCGCGUUUUUGUGCAACGGUUUUUUUUUCUUCUGUCAACGAAAUUUUAAUUUAAACUUUUUCCCUCACGUGAGUCGUGCUUUCGACUGCUGAAACCCCAAAUUGAGAACAGUGUUUCCACUUAUUUCCGGCCCAUAAACUCGAACCGCUCUGGGUCUGGUGUGUGCUCCCUGUGUGUACACUGAGGAGAGCUGCCUAACUCCCCCAAAACAUGGAGACGCGAAACCUGGGCCCCAGUGUAACACAUUGGAUUUAAGGGGCGAAAUUGUAGGCUGCCUGCGAAAUGUUUUCUAACCUCCUUACAAGAGAAGACGAGGCUUGAGCAGAAUCACUUUGAAGGUGUGGUAGGAAAAAGGAUAGAGAGGAAAAGAAACAACGGUAAGGGGAGCUGUGGAGUGGCAUUUUCCCAUUUGCCAUGGCUCAUAUGGGCUCGCCAUCCACUCCUAGCUUCGCCCGGUGCGUAGCAACGUGUAUGCAAACGUGAUGGAACAGGACAUUUGUGUUGUGUGUUGGUUCAAGGAGAACAAUAACAACAACAACAAAAGCCCGUUGCCAGGAUCCGUGCUGUGCUACGGUUUUGCGUUUCCUGCCGAACGCUAUUUUUGCUCUCAAUUGCUUUGGUUACGGAUGAGAAACUUUUUUUUAUGGAUUUCAGCUUUGAUUGAGCGAAAAGCGCGCAAAAAGCGGCACGAUUCCAACUGUGACUCAUUUUUCGUUGGCAAUGAGUUGGCAUGAGAGAGAGAGAGAGAGAGAGGUGGGCCUGGUGACUGACAGGAAGUCAAAAGGGACUGUCAAACAGAUUCACCGUAUCGAACUGCAGGUGCGAAAUGGUCGCCGUAACCAGUGGAAAGUGUUUGUAUGUGGAGCGAAGAAAUUAUGUAGACGGCUUACAGGGAUGCUGCAACUACCGAAACGCUUGCUGUUAACUGCAUCGCCAUCGCCGUAUUGGGCAUAACAUCGUAGCAACCACGGAGUAGAAGCACCAACCAGACCGGCUCGGACUCAUUUCGUGGUCUCAUACUUGUCUUUUGUUGUGUGCUAGUUUAAAUUGCUUUUCGAAAAAUGUUUAAAACUUUUAUGUUUGUGUUCUCCUCAACCCGCUGGUUUCUUCCUUCCACCCUCCCCCAACAAACCGUCAUGCCGUCGUGCCGUCUGAAAAUGGUACGUUGCCAAGGUCGGAGCAGGAUCUACCCGCGGUUGGUGCAACCGGUGCGCUGUGUAGUACGUGCGGCAGUUGGAAAACAAAUCGCACAGUGGGAGUGUGGGUGGAAUGUGUCCCGCGCAAGGAAGUAACACAGGAAACAGGUAACACACACAAAACCACCGCGCUGUGCAAAUACACGUAGCGUGCCGAUCUACAUCAUCGUUUUGUGUGGCUAUUGCCUUAAUAAGUUGAUUGUAUAACCACGUGAUGGCCGUGUGCUGUUCGUGUUCGUUUUGUUCUGGGCGCGCGUUUGCGAUUCCAAUACCCGAAUGGUUGUUGAAAACACAAGCAACAAAAACGUCGGGCCCCAAACUCUCCAUCCCAAAGAACGACAGCAUGGAGGUUGCCCAUGAAGGUUGCUCUUUUUCGCUGUGAAGGAAGUUACUGCUUCUCUGUGGCUGUGUGUAUGUGUGUGUUUAUGUGGUUGAUGUUACGCUAUGUUUCUUCCUCGUCACUGUGUUCGAACGUUUUGCAAACGUUAACCUGAAACCCCUGAUCCGGCCCGAUGGGGUUGAAAAGGAGAGAACAAAAAAAUGGUUUCGUUUUCGUGGGUUUGUUUUUCGCGUUUUGAAUGGUCCCAAAAAGAAAAGAAAAAUCUAUUGCUGUGCGCGUUGGAAGUUAAAACAACGUUUGCAAAACAACGUUUUUUCUCGCUGUCGAUAGGUGAUUUCCCACCAAACAACAGCAAAGCGAAGAAACGUACAUGGUAUGGGUAGGAUAAAGUAAAACAAAAAACCUCUUGUCAGACGUAGGAUGAGAGACGAAAAGAAAAUGGAUCCCAAAAGUUCGUCGCAAAAUAAAAACGCAAA